CGUCAAAGCUUAAUUAUUAUACUUAAUAAAUCCCUCAAACAAAUUAAAACCCUACCCCGAUAUUGAAUAAUUUCAUACUCUUAUGGAAGAUAUUAUGUUAAAACUAGUAACAUGAAGCUUAAACCUUCUCUUAAAUGUAAGCAUAACUCAGGAUGGAUGACACACUGAUAACUAACAGCUUAAACCAAAGUGACAACCAAACAAGAAAACCCCGCUAAUUCAACUGUUAAUCUAACACAAGAACAUUUAAAGAAAGACUUAAAGAAAAAGAAGGAACUCGGCAAAAACUGAUUCCGCCUGUUUACCAAAAACAUCGCCUCCUGAACUAAAUCAUAGAAGGUCCAGCCUGCCCAGUGACUCUGUUUAACGGCCGCGGUAUCCUAACCGUGCGAAGGUAGCGUAAUCACCUGUUUUUUAAUUAAAGACCUGUAUGAAAGGCAUCACGAGAAUCACACUGUCUCCUUUCUCAAGUCAGUGAAACUAAUCUCCCCGUGAAAAAGCGGGGAUGUCGCUACAAGACGAGAAGACCCUUUGGAGCUUAAGACAAAUAAAUACUUGCUUCCCUAAAACCCCCUAUAUCAUACAACAUUAUAUUUAUAAGUCUUGGGUUGGGGCAACCAUGGAGUAAAAACAAACCUCCAAGCUGAAAGGAAAUUUUCUAAACAAAAAGCAACAGCUUUAUGUAUCAUUAAACUGACACAAUUUGACCCAAUAUGUAAAUUGAUUAACGAACCAAGUUACCCUAGGGAUAACAGCGCAAUCCACUUCAAGAGUUCAUAUCGAAAAGUGGGCUUACGACCUCG
rnacentral:rRNA from 1 species